rnacentral:tRNA from 1 species
GCCCGUGUAGCUCAGUGGAUUAGAGCACUGGUCUUCGGAACCAGGUGUCGGGGGUUCGAGUCCUCCACGGGCACCA